rnacentral:lncRNA from 1 species
AGGGAUCCUACAGCCUUCAGAAGCUCAGGUUUAAGAAGUCUCCGCAGGAUACGGAGCAGGCAGCAGGCGUUGUCAGCGCACAGAAUACAGAGUGGUUCCCGGGUCAUGAUGGGGUGUGGAGGCGGGGGGUGGGGGAAGAUGGUCCAGAGAAAGAGGGUGAAUUAAGGAGAGGGGCAGAUUUGGAGAAGUCUUUGGAGAGCAUCACUGGCCAAGUGGAAGAGGCGGAUGAAGAGCUCCCUGGAUGUGCUGCUGAUCAAGGCAGAUCUGGAGGAAGAGUCAAAGCAACAGUCGGCAAUCGGGGAAUUUAUGAAGACGUUGAAGGAAGGAGUUGACACACGGAUUCAGUCAGAAAUUUCAAAGAGAGUAGAGUGAAAAGAAGGGUUUGGUGAAAAGAUUCAGGCAUUCCUGGUGGAGGUGACAUAGUGGAGCAGGACAUCUACCAGGAGUCCCGGGGCUAUGGUCUAUGAGCUUGGCACUGGCGGAGUGAGGCCAGUGCAGCCUGGCUCCGCUGCAGGGGAUGCCAAGACAAGUCUGCCCUCUCUGGAACAAAAGUGACCUCAUUUCUCAGGUACUGCUGGGGACUGCCGGCCAAUUGCCAAUUUUGCCUCUCCUUCACUCAAUGAAGAAGUGUUUGUCUUUGCAAAUACAGGAAGCGCUCUUUUUUGUUUUCUCCUUGUGCCGUUGAGGCUUUGCUGUCCAGGAGUGGUUUCUGGGGAGGGCCACCCCGUCCAAUGUCUCCACCUUUUUUGACCUGUGGGUGCUUUAUUUGGGCUGAUGAGAGCUCUCAUUUGUCCUCGGGGCAGUUCUGAGCUUAUAGGCCACUCAGGUCUUCAUAUACAACAGGGCCUAUUCCUUUUGUGAUUGGGUAGUCCCACCAACUGUAAAACCAGAAUCAUCAGGAGGUAGAGCCCAAUCAGGAGAGCUGGGAAUGAAUGGCUCAGAACCGGUGUUUGGCACACAUGUAGGACAAGCAUUCUUCACGUGACUUAUUUUCUGAACAGCUGUCGGGAUUGUUGUCUCACAGGUUUUGGCAUUAUCUGACCCCCACAUCCCCAAUUCUGUCCUGCUACAGGCCAUAAGAUUUCAAGGGGACCAUUCCCAGGGUGGGACCUGCGGUUGAUACAUGAACUUCCUUGUCCGCCACAAAUCUCCACAGGGUUCGAACCCAGGUGAAUGAGUCUCUGUUUGAAAUUAGGUUAGAACCACCACUUGGGAAGGGCAAAGAGCAGGCAGCCUCAACAGUGGUGGAGCCAACCAUGAACUUCUCAGGAGUGACCUGUGCUUCCUUCAAGGCUGUUUCUGUUAUGUGUGUCCUUCUAAGACCUGCAUUUCUUUCAAGGCUGAUCCUGUCCAUUUUGUAGCCCAUUUUUCUUCAUUAACAAUAAAACCAAUUUUGAGCACCAAAGAGCAAGCAGAAGA